UCUCCGUAGGUGAACCUGCGGAGGGAUCAUUACAGAGUUCAUGCCCUACCGGGUAGAUCUCCCACCCUAUGUUAUUAUUACUUUGUUGCUUUGGCGGGCCGUUAGGCUCCGGCCCGACUACCGGCCCCGGCUGGUAAGCGCCCGCCAGGGGACCCAAAACCCUGAAUAUUAGUGUCGUCUGAGUACUAUUUAAUAGUUAAAACUUUCAACAACGGAUCUCUUGGUUCUG
rnacentral:misc_RNA from 1 species